GACGAACGCUGGCGGCGUGCUUAACACAUGCAAGUCGAACGGAAAGGCCCUGCUUUUGUGGGGUGCUCGAGUGGCGAACGGGUGAGUAACACGUGAGUAACCUGCCCUUGACUUUGGGAUAACUUCGGGAAACUGGGGCUAAUACCGGAUAGGAGCUCCUGCUGCAUGGUGGGGGUUGGAAAGUUUCGGCGGUUGGGGAUGGACUCGCGGCUUAUCAGCUUGUUGGUGGGGUAGUGGCUUACCAAGGCUUUGACGGGUAGCCGGCCUGAUAGGGUGACCGGCCACAUUGGGACUGAGAUACGGCCCAGACUCCUACGGGAGGCAGCAGUGGAGAAUAUUGCAAAAUGGGCGGAAGCCUGAUGCAGCAACGCCGCGUGCGGGAUAACGGCCUUCGGGUUGUAAACCGCUUUCACCUGUGACGAAGCGUGAGUGACGGUAAUGGGUAAAGAAGCACCGGCUAACUACGUG
rnacentral:rRNA from 1 species